AGAGUUUGAUCAUGGCUCAGAAUCAACGCUGGCGGCGUGCCUAACACAUGCAAGUCGAACGAGAAAGGGUAGCAAUACCUGAGUAAAGUGGCGCACGGGUGAGUAACACGUGACUAACCUACCCUGGAGUGGGGAAUAACCGAGGGAAACCUCAGUUAAUACCGCAUAAUACCUACGGGUCAAAGGAGCAAUUCGCUUCGGGAGGGGGUCGCGGCCGAUUAGUUAGUUGGCGGGGUAAUGGCCCACCAAGACAGUGAUCGGUAUCCGGCCUGAGAGGGCGCACGGACACACUGGAACUGAAACACGGUCCAGACUCCUAUGGGAGGCAGCAGUGGGGAAUUUUGCGCAAUGGGGGAAACCCUGACGCAGCAACGCCGCGUGGAGGAUGAAGUACUUCGGUACGUAAACUCCUUUCGAUCGGGACGAUAAUGACGGUACCGGAAGAAGAAGCCCCGGCUAACUUCGUGCCAGCAGCCGCGGUAAUACGAGGGGGGCAAGCGUUGUUCGGAAUUAUUGGGCGUAAAGGGUGCGUAGGCGGUUUGGUAAGUCUCUUGUGAAAUCUACAGGCUCAACUUGUAGACUGCAAGGGAAACUGCCGGGCUUGAGUAUGGGAGAGGUGAGUGGAAUUCCUGGUGUAGCGGUGAAAUGCGUAGAUAUCAGGUCGACUCCCUAUAGGGAGAGCGGCUCACUGGUCCAUAACAGACGUUGAUGCACGAAAGCUAGGGGAGCAAACAGGAUUAGAUACCCUGGUAGUCCUAGCCUCUAACCGAUGGCUGCUUGGUGUGGUGGGUACCCAAUCCUUCCGUGCCGUAGCUCACGCGUUAAG
rnacentral:rRNA from 1 species